rnacentral:piRNA from 1 species
UGGAUAUCUUAGCAUUCAUGUUAAUCCA